CUGUCGUCUACCUGGGAGUGCUUAAGUUUCUUCCUCUGCAAGAUGAUGUGGCCAAGCCCAUUAGAUUUGGUGGAGACCCUGAAGAUUUUGUUGAAGGGGCAGAAGAGGACACUUUUUGAAGAUGGAGGAAGCUUUCUUAGGCUAUAGGAAGAGAAGGAGCCUUAGACAGAGAUGUCAGAGGAUGCACAAAAGACCUUUCUACUUGUCUACUAUGAGACACAGUUGAGAUGACAAAAAAAAGUAAAGGAAUAGUGCAGGCAAAGAUUAAGAGUUCCCAAGGCUUUCCCUCAGUUUGAAAAUGGAAGCAGAGAUUAACCAUACCUUGUCAAAGCUGCGCUUCCAAGACACUGGAGUUCUG
rnacentral:lncRNA from 1 species